CCUAAGUAACAAACUGUUACUGUGUUAGUUUUCACAUGCAUACGCAAUCAGAGAAAGAUCGUGGUAUGGAGCCUGCUUUAUAAGGACCAUUUAGUAUGCAGCAUUGGGAUGACAUAUCAAGGGAAAUUGUGCACAGUUGAAAAGUAUUAUUUAACAAAGCUUAAAAGUAUAUUUGCAUCUCUUACAAAAUGGUUAUUCUGUUUGAUCACUUUCUCGUCUAGUAACAGCAGUGAGAUGUAGGGUUGUCUCCAGGUUUAAUUUUUUCCCCAUCCCAAUCAUUGUUUCGGAGACCAUGUUUUUAGUUUUCAUUGAUAAAUCUGUCAUUUCAAGCUUGCUGAAAUGCAUGUUUAUCAAUUUCAUUCAUAAAGUUCAGGUAUUUUUGACAGAUGGAGUGAAAUUUUUGUUCAUUCCAACAAGCAAAUUUUAGACCCUGGGACAGAGGGAGAAACGGGUCCUGGAGACAGCCCUUGUGUGAUGAUACUGUAGUAGUAACUUGCCUAACAAAUUUGUGGUGCUACUAAUAUAAUAAUGUUUGCGUCUGCUUCAGCUUGACAAUGAUGAGUGUGAGACGAUUAGAAUCAUUUGGGAGAAUCUUUUAGUUCCUCUGGUGGUGGUCGGCUGUCCUUAACUUCUCAAAUUCCUGUCGUUAAACUUCAGGAAAUUCUGUGGGAAUUUUUUCUCGCUCAUCUGAUUCUAGUACUUUAUCCUUUCAAUCACAAUCAUAUAGCAUCUACAACAAGAAAUAUAGUAUCCAUCCAAUCUUUUAAUCAUUUCAUUAUCAUUUUCCCUCUUAAUCCAUCCACGUAGAUCAGACUUUCAUGGGUGAUUUCUUUCGGAGUCUAUAAAUGGCCAACUUUUAAUUCUAGACAUUCAGUGAACGCUUUCUACAAUCACUACUUAUGUUAUAUUAAGUUUGUUUUUAUUUGCAGGGCUCGAAAUACAAAGUGCAUGUGCUCCCCAAAAUUGGAGCUGUGCACCUAAUUCCUGUCUUUAGGUACCCUGGUGCACCUUGAUAUUUCUGUAAGAUGACGUACAUAAAUGCACUGUUGUAUUACUUUCUUGUAAUUUUCAAGUUCUUUAUAAAAUUUGGAUUUAUUUAACUUGUGUUGUGCACCAGAGUUUCUUUUAUUUUUAUGGGUUAGGUGCAUCAGGUUACCUUAUCGGUUAUCCUCCCAGAAUGAAUUUCGAGCCCUGCGUUGCCUAAGAUAGAUGUGACUGAUAUUAACGUUGAGCUUCUUGGCUGUCUUCA